rnacentral:rRNA from 1 species
UACGGGGGGAGCAAGCGUUGUUCGGAUUUACUGGGCGUAAAGGGCGCGUAGGCGGCCACCGCAAGUCGACUGUGAAAUCUCCGGGCUUAACCCGGAAAGGUCAGCCGAUACUGCGGGGCUAGAGUGCAGGAGGGGCAACUGGAAUUCUCGGUGUAGCGGUGAAAUGCGUAGAUAUCGAGAGGAACACCUGCGGCGAAGGCGGGUUGCUGGGCUGACACUGACGCUGAGGCGCGAAAGCUAGGGGAGCGAACGGG